rnacentral:rRNA from 1 species
UACGUAGGUGGCGAGCGUUGUCCGGAUUUACUGGGCGUAAAGAGCGCGCAGGCGGUCGUUCAAGUCGCGUGUGAAAGCCCCCGGCUCAACUGGGGAGGGUCACGCGAUACUGAUCGACUCGAAGGCAGGAGAGGGUAGUGGAAUUCCCGGUGUAGUGGUGAGAUGCGUAGGUAUCGGGAGGAACACCAGUGGCGAAGGCGACUACCUGGCCUGUUCUUGACGCUGAGGCGCGAAAGCUAGGGGAGCAAACGGG